rnacentral:lncRNA from 1 species
AGGAUCUCUGUGGCUCGAGGGUGAGUGUGUGGAGGGUUUAAACCUUUAGGUGCAAAAUCUAUGCGAGCCAAAGAUAUGCCAAGUGUGUUUAGUCCAAAUAGUUGCUCAACUGUGACAGGGGUCACUUUAGAGCCAAGUGGAUUAGAGGUGUUCCCAGGUUCAACAUGUUUGAAGAAAUCUUCAGCUUUCACAAGUGCAGGGUCUUUGCAGAAUUUUCCGUUCACAAAUACUGUAAAUUAUGCAUAAACAAUUUUUAAUUUAAUAUUAUAAUUAGGGAAAGAACAAGAAAAAAUUGGUAAAAGGACGAAAAAUUAACAUAUUAAUCACGUUUUUAUUAAAUUAAUAAUUACUAAUUGGAGGAGACGGUGUGGAAAUUUGUUUAAAAUGACAAAUACAAAUUUGAAUACUAUUAUUCGAGCUACCACUAAGGUAGUUAGUGUAGCUUGGUCUAAGGAGUGAGUCACACUUCAACUCUGAUAUGCGCACAAGGCUUAACGGCUUGGAGUAUUGUGUGUUUGUCGAGCUAUCACUCAUAGUAGUCUCACAUUUCAAGCCUAUUAUAAGCACGAGGCAAUUAAGAGCUUGGAGGGUUGUGUGUCUAUCGAACUACCACUCAUGGUGGUCCGACGUCAAGAGCUAGCUAACAAGUGGACGACUCCAAUAAAGGUGAAGCCCUAUCUAACCAAAGGCACAAGUAACCCUCAAAUUAAGUAGUUGUGUAACCCCACUUUCAUUAGCCAAUUAAUCACUACGUCAUUUAAUUAUCUAAUAAGUCAUGUCACAAAUAAAAAAACUUAACAUUUGGGUUGAAGGAAUUAUGAGAAUUUAGGAAACAUACCACCAUAUUUUGGGUCAUUGAUUCCCACACAGAAAUCUUGUAGAGGGCUCGGGUCAUAGGCAGAGGCAAAAGAGGAUGCCAAAGCCAAGAUGGUAACAAGGAAGUAGACAACUUCCAUUUUGGCUCUCAGUACUAUUACUCUUCAAUGAUUUUGUGUACGUAUGUAAUUACUUGUGUGUGAAUUGAUAUUUGAUGCAUGUGAAGCUUGCUAUUUAUAAGGAUAAAACAUUGAAGUGGUUUGCUGUUUAUAUUUACCGCAAUUAAUUUUCUAAUUAACAAUGAACCAUUCUUUAACAACUACAUGAGAGCUUGAUCAAAAGAGUGGACUAAGUAGGUUAAGCAAUUGUUUCUGGAUUGCGUUGUCUGACUGGGCAAUGGUACAUGUUCUUGUAAUAAGGUGAAACCCACCAAGGCGUAAAUAAAAAAAUUAUUUUAGACUUUGUCCCAAUUCUUAAGAGAUUAUCUUUCUAUGUUUGCAUACUACAGCUUAACAUUGUCAUAAGGAUUAGUUGGUGGAAUUUGGAAUUAUUUUAAGAAAUUGGGCGAUGAAUAAUAUAUCCACAAGAAGAGAGAUACCAUAUUUCUGAUUGAGAUACUUCAUUGAUUUCUAUUUUUUUAAUUACAACACACAUCACAUCUUUUAUUUAUUUUCCUUUUAUUAUAUAUUUUUUCUCCACUCUAUUUCCACUUAAAAUAAAGUGUGAAUGAAAAUUUUCCAAACCUGAUUUGCCGUGUCAACAAAUAGUUUACUUAUUGCAAUCCAAAUUAUAAAGUAACUAUCUUCCUCUUGUAAGAAAAAAAAUCAUAACGUAACUUUUUUAUUAUUAUCAUGAAGUUGUGUAAUAAGUAAUAAGUAAUAACAGGAACAGUAUUUGAAAAUUAUGAACAUCGAGAUCAGUAGUUUAAUUAUGUAUAUGAUGUCACCUCAAUUAAAAGAAUUUCAAGUCAGUUAAAAUUGUUAGUUUUUGGAUGGAAAAUUAACGAGAGAUGAAGUGUUGUUGUAUUGACAGAGCCUAAUAUUAGGAUAGUGAAAUGUUUUUUUCAAAGUUAAGGAUCUUUUUUGCAUAAUUGAGAAAUCUAGGACCAAAAGUACUAAUAACCCAUAUUAAACAUGUUGGAUGAGGCUGGAUCUUGAAAUCUUUAAAGAAUCCUCAUACCAAGAUGGGCAAAUAAAAUAUUCUCCUACACAUUAAACAUAUUUUGGAAAUUUUGAUGUAAAAUUCACAUUUUAAAGAUGCAAAAAUAAAAUGAUUCAGAAAUUGAUCCUAGGAACAAAUCGGACAUGCCCAGGUAAAAUAAAACCCAUAACUUUUAUGCGUAGAUAUUCAGGGUCAUGGAGACUGACAAAAUCCAUGUAUUCAUUUUUAAAUUCAUCCUAAUUGAGCCUUUUGUUAUGUGAAUUUACCUCUUGUUUUUAUAAAUUGAGAACAUAAAAGCAAGUCAACUAGAUCAAAAGAUGGAAAGCACAAAUUGAUAAGAGACGCGAUGGCGGCUAUGGAUGUUGAAGGCGAGAAGGCUCCUCCUGAUGACGGCUCACCCCCUCGGUUAUCGUUUUGUGACAAGCUCAUGGGAGGGGCUUCAAGAUCACAAUGGCAACUGGGUUCAAGGCUUCACGCAUAAAAUGCUUCAUGGAAAUUCCUUCCUUGCUGAAGCCAUUGCAUUACGUGAUGGGUUGCAACUUGUGUGGAACCUUGGCGUGAGGAAACUUAUAUGCGAGUCGGAUUGUAAAACACUUGUUAAUGCAGGGCAGGAUAGGCCCCAGAUCCUUCCCCCAGACCUUGGUCUGCUUGUGACUGAGAUUAAGAAUUUGACACAGCUUCAAUGGCAAGUUCUGGUCAGCUGGGUACCACGAGAUGCGAACAAAGCAGCAGACUGGAUGGCCAAGGCAAGUACUCGUGAUGAGGUGCUGAGAUUCGCUAGGGUGCUCUCCCCCGAUCCAGAUCUCCAAGUGAUCAUUCUUAAGGAUGCGCUAGGCAUCCCUUGGUUUCUAUUUUUUGCUCAUUUACUUUUCCGAUGUAUCAAAAAAGAAAAGAUGGAAAGCACAAAGGGAAAAGAUUGAUAAAAGAAAGAAACACAUCCAAUCAAAAGAAAAAGGGCAUAUCUCUUACUCUGCUCCUUUUUGGGGCUUAUGUCACUAUCUAAGAUAUAUGUGAAUAGAUUGAAGACUACUCGAAAUAUAUAAAGAGAAACCAAGAUUUUGAAAUGCCAAUACCUUAUUUCCUAUGUGUUUCGUUGGGCUCUUAAGUCAUAAGGCCCGAUGACGUUGCAGUCGAUUUAUAAGGGUUUGCUCUUAAGCAAACAUCGUAAGGGUCACCUAUGCGACUUGGUUCAAGAAUGAACCAGUACUCCGGUCCAACUAACAAAGUAUUCAAGCAGCCUCUCAAACUCAAAGGGUCAAGAUAAAACACUUAAAGCGUAACGACACCAAGCCAACCAUGCACCCAAAAGCAUCAUCUAAGGGAUUCCCUUGCACUUGUAGAGACACUAAACACAUAUACCAAGACCUUAAACAUAUAAGUUCUAUCAUUCAUUUACAUAACAUGCUAUUAAAUCUUAGAAUUAUUUGAGUUCUUUUAAGACUUAUGAAUUCUCUCCGUGCUAUUAUAAGUUCUAUCAUUCAUUUACAUAACAUGCUAUUAAAUCUUACAAAAGAUCGUUGUCCUUGUCACAAAACGAAGUAAAUUCCAAUUUUUGAAACUUCACCUUAAGUGUAGCUUAGAUGAUCAAACCUUUGUAAAAGCGGUUGUUUUAAAAUUUCCAAGUAGUUCUACAAUGUCUUUUGCAUGACUACCCUCUCAAUUGAAUUGUUGCUUACAUAUCUUUGUUGACUUUGUUUACUAGUCACAUUGCUUUCUAUUAAGGAACUUGUUGGCAUAAGGGGUGAAUCCUCCAAUGACAUAACCUAGUGCCUUCAAAAGUGUCACUUUCACAAACAUUCGGUCAGCUAAAAUAAAUUGGUGGUGAAUGUUCAAAAUUAUGGAUUUAUUUCGUUUUGUGACAAUAUCAUUGAUCCUUCAAUAAAUUGAUCUUUUUUUACUAUGUUCAAAAUGGAUUUAUUUAUGAAAAGAAAGGUACUGGGAACAACCCUCACAGUUGAGGAACAGAGGAAAGCUAGAUUAAACAAGAACAAGGCAGAAACGAAAAAUACACAUAAGAAAACAGAACAACAAUGAAACGAAAAAAGUAAAACACACCAGAUAUGCCUUUUAUAAAUCAACGAGAAAAAAAAAGAAAGUAUAAAUCUAUUUGUUUUAAUAAAAUAGACUUUAGAAAGCAUUAAUGUAAAAAACGAUGAGUCAACUUUGGGCUUAGUCCCUCUAAAAAAAAUGAUGAGUCAACUUUUAAAACUUUGAGCUCAUUUAAUAUAUUUUGAUGUGAUUAAAUAUAAUAUUUAUUAAUAAAAUAUAAAAUUAAUUUUUUACUUUUUUUUUAACAUUAAUUAUUACUAAUGGUUAGUUCAGAAAAGAAUAAUAAACUUAUUGGAAUCUCUUUUUUGGUGAAUAAAUUUAUUAGCAUCUCUAAAGUUUUUAACACUUCCAUUUUUAUUUUUUUAAAAUAAUAAUUAAGUAUUUAAAUAGUAUAAAAUUUAUUUAAGAAUUUACUAGUCACACCAUUAAUUGUUUAUUGCUUUAAUUAUUUGAUAAUACUUUGAUUGUUGAAUAAAAAGUAAAUCGGCAUGGUCUACCAUUUAGAAGGAGGGGAAAAAUAAUUGAGGAGAUACAUUUCAUCAUGAUAAAGAUAGUAAACUAUGUGAAAGCCUCAUGGAUAUCAGAACUAUUUUAACCAAACUCUUUUUAAUACAUUCAUGCGUGUAACGUACACCAAUUUCUUAAGGGUUAAAAUCAUAAUAUCAAAUAAUUUAAAAGUCAAUUAAAACAAGGAGAAUUUGAAUCAAUAAGAAACUUUAACAAAAGUGGGACCAAAAUGAAAUCAUCCUAAAUAUCAGGCAUUUCUAGUGGUGCUUUCAAAGAAAGGUCCAUCGACCAUCGUGAGCAAGGCAUCCUCAGCGGUGCAACACUUCAUCUCAACGUCGACUUCCUUCGUCUAUGGUGUUAAGCGCCCAUGCAACACACAAGAAAGGGUCAACUCAAAAGAAAAACACGACGCCAUAUAGUAGCAUGUUAAACAUGUUCAUAUUAAACAACAUAGUUUAAUCCAAAUAAGAUAGUAUGUUCAAAACGACAUAAUCCGAUUAUCAAGUCAUCAGUCAACGUAUCCUAGGGUUAGUCUAGGAUGAAUGCACAGUCCAGGUCAGCCUUCUAGUCAAAAACAUGAUCUGGAUACAUAAUGCCAACCAUUAAGGUGGCGGGAUAAACACGACUCCUUGAACCACGAACGAGAGUGAAGCUUAAUUCAUUGUAUUCUUUUGCAACGUAACUAAUCUUGCUUUGUUCUUGUGAUUUUUCAAUCCUCAUUCAACUUGUUUUUGAAUACCCAUUUGAUUCCAAUAAUAGUUUUAUCUUUAGGUAUGAGAACCAGGGUCCAAACUUUUGACUUCUUUCGAAUUGAUAAAUUUUUCUUAUAAACCCAAGAUCCAGCUUUCAUAUCAUUGAGAGCUUGAGAUACAUAUUUAGGUUCAAUCUCUGAGAUGAAUGUCAUGUUGUUGAAUUCUUCAUACUUAGAGAAGAAUGCCAUAUUGUUUUCUUUGAAGGGUGAUCUUGUUUUAACUCGUUCAAGAGGAUUCCAAUUACUUUCUCAGGUGGAUAAUUAGCCUUAUAUCUCCAAUCUUUUUGUAGAUAUGAUCUUCAUGAGGGUGUGUCUUGAUUAGAUGACUCAUCAUUUGUAUUAGACGACUGACGAGCAGACAAGUCAAUAUUAGUUUGCAAUUGCAGUUGAUCAAAUGAUGAGGGGUCUAAGUAACUUUUUCUUUGAUUUAGAUCAAGUCCUGCAAAAUCCUCAUCUAGGCUUGCUAGAUCAUGAGUAGUAGGAAAAAUAGGGACCAGACGAGCAAACAUGUUUCUUACACAUACUUGAUUUUGAGAAUUGGACAUUCUUGGUUGUAACUUCAAUGUUAGAUUGCUAUGCAAUUCUGGCUGGACUAUGUCAUUCCUAAUCCAGCCUGAAUUGUAAUGCAACCCGACAUUGAAGUUGCAGUCAAGAGUGACCAAUAUCGUAUGCUUAACUAAUGAAAUUGAUGAUAAAUAUAAGGUGUGGAUGGAUUUAUAUGAAUGGUAAAAUAAAUCAAAUAAUUUUACUCCAUGAAAAUUUGCAAAGCAAAUUUGGUGAGAACUUGCAUUAUUUGCUAAUAGUUUAGGGUUCCUAAGUUGGCGGUCUCGUUUAGGACAAACAAUAUCCCUAACUUUGAGAUAAUAAGCAUUGUAAUUCCGAGUUAGGGGGCACUGUAUGACCUGGACAAGAGAGACUAAUUUUGGGACAUGUUAGCUGUGAGCAAAUGGCUGCAACUCAUCGUUAAAUUUUCAUUGACAAGAGAGACUUAUUUUCUACGUUGUACAUAUAUAACGUCUGCCAAGCCGACACUAUUCAGAGUUGGUCUAUACGACCAAUGCUACUUUUUAUGAAUUUGUGUCGGCCGAAGUAGCAAGUGAGUUGCGUAAGUUUAUUGUUGGUUAAUCUAACGCUAACACGUAGGGUCACCCCCGGCCGGGGCCGACGCUAAAUAGUUAGUAUCAUACCAUGUAACAUGAGUCUCGAUGUUGACACUAAAUCAAUGUUACCGUAUGUCAUUUGUUGCCUACUCAGAAAAGAAAGGGAUCAGGGGGCUUAUUGAUCGGAGAAAGGGAAGAGACUUAUUGGUUUGACCUAAUUGAGAAGGAGAUAAAAAGGGAUCACCUAACCUUCUCUUGAGUGAGAGAGGCAAGUCGCAAGGCAAAAAGCUUAGUCGUUUUCAAGUUUGAGGGUCUCCUUUCCAUUAUCUCUCUAACAUAAUUGGAUAACUAAUUCUUCUUGAUUAAUCCUUCGACACACUUUAAAUAUAUGAUUGGAGUAUUAAGGGAUCCUUGUUAUUAAAUUAAAUUAACUUGAGAAAGUACACCCAAAUAAUAAUUUUAACGUGAGAAUAAUAAUGUGUUGAACCAAAUUAAACUCCAAACUUUCUUCCAUUUCAACAAUACAAAAUUAAACUCCAAACAUAAAAGCUACAAUAUCAAAAAAUAAAGCAUGCAUUUUAUUUUAUUUAUUACAAUAGCAAUUGUAUAGAGAAGGCUAUUGCAUGAGGUGACAUCAGUACAAGUGUCUUAUACAAUCUGAAUGAAACGAGUAUUAAUAUUAGUUGUUGUCAUACCAAGACUUCUUUAGAAGAUUAUCAAUUAUGCUCUUAUCCACCUGUAAAGCUUUGGUAAGAACCUCUUGAGAAAUUGGAGGACUAGCUUUAAACAAAGCAUUUGCAAUGGUAAUAACUCCAGGAUUUUGACUACUCAAUCCAGCAAUAGCAACAGCAUUUCCAGAUCCCACAUUCAAUUGGAAAUGAAUGAGACUAAUUGGGAACACAAAAACAUCACCUUUGUUGAGAACUUUAGUGAAGAGACGAUUACCACCAUUUGCGUUAUUGGAUGUGACAAAUCCAACAUAGAGAGUUCCUUCAAGGACUAUAAGGAUCUCUGUGGCUCGAGGGUGAGUGUGUGGAGGGUUUAAACCUUUAGGUGCAAAAUCUAUGCGAGCCAAAGAUAUGCCAAGUGUGUUUAGUCCAAAUAGCUGCUCAACUGUGACAGGGGUCACUUUAGAGCCAAGUGGAUUAGAGGUUUUCCCAGGUUCAACAUGUUUGAAGAAAUCUUCAGCUUUUACAAGAGCAGGGUCUUUGCAGAAUUUUCCAUUCACAAACACUGUACGCAUGAACAAUUUUUAUUGUAAUCUUAGAAAUAGGGAAAGAACUAGAGAAACAAGUUUUCUAAUUACUUGUUUACGAAAUAUUAACAUAUUAAACUAUUUUUUUUUAAAUCAACAAUAACUAUUUGGAGAGGGCGUGUAAAAAUUUAUUUAAUUAGAAAGACAAAUAUAACAUUUGAAUAUUACUAUUGUAUCUAUGGAGUUAUCACUCAUGGAAGUCCGGUCUAAGGAGGCGGUGUAAAAAUUUAUUUAAUUAGAAAAACAAAUAUAACAUUUGAAUAUUACUAUUGUAUCUAUAGAAUUACCACUCAUGGUAGUCCGGUCUAAAGAGCGAAUCAUAAGCGCACAUGGCAAUUAAAAGCUAAGAGGAUUGUGGCUACCGAGCUACCACUCAUGGUGGCCCGACCUCAUAAGCUAAAGAGUGGGUGACUCCAAUAAAGGCGAAGAUCUAACCGGAGGAACAACUAACACUUAGAUUAAGUAGUUGUGUAACCUGGUUCUGUUUUUAUUCUUUUCUCCCGUAGCCUGGGCAUCACACAAUACUCUGUUUUUCUUGGCCUUUUAUUAGCAUUUCCCUUUACUUUGUAUUUUCACCAUGGGAUUGAAGUACCUAUAAUACUUCUUUAAUUAAGUUUGUCUUAUCUAAAAAAAAAUUAUUGUGCAACCUCGCAUUCAUUAGUAAAUUUACAUCAUUCAAUUAUCCAAUAAAUCACGUCCCAAAAAUGAAAUGGCGCCUAGAGACAAUCUUAAGCCUACUAAAAGCUAGCCUAAGAUAAUAGGGAUUUGAUAUCGUCACCAACUCUAAUCCCCAGAGUUUUGAGAGAACAACUAUAAAAAAAAAAUAUAAGAAACUAAAAAAAUAAAAGGAAUUAUCUUUGAGGGAACCACUACCCCACUUUCAUCGUAAAAAAAAAAAAAAAGACUACCCCACUUUCCAUCAACUUGCCCUAUCACUGCUUGCAUGACCUAAACGAAAAACAAACUUAAUUAACAUUUGGGUAGUAGGAAUUAUGAGGACUUAGGAAACAUACCACCAUCUUUUGGGUCAUUGAUUCCCACACAGAAGUCUUGUAGAGGGCUGGGGUCAUAGGCAGAGGCAAAAGAGGAUGCCAAAGCCAAGAUGGUAACAAGGAAGUAGACAACUUUCAUUUUGCCUCUCACUAUAUUACUCCUAAAUGGUACGGUUCUGUGUAUGUAUGUAAUUUCUUGUGUGUUUUGAAGCAUGUUAAGCUUGCUAUUUAUAAGGAUAAAACAUUGAAGUGGUUUGCUCACUUGCUGUUUAUCUUUAACGCAAUUAAUUUUCUAAUUAACAAUGAACCAUUCCUACCUUCAAAAAACAAUGAAUCAUUCUUUAACAACUACAUGAGAGCUUGAUCAAAAGAGUGGACUAAGUAGGUUAAAGCAAUUGUUUCUGGAUUGCGUCCUCUGACUAGGCAUGCUGGCAUGGUACAUGAUGUUAUUCGUAAUAAUGUGAAACCCACCAGGCGUAAAUAAAAAAUUAGUAUAUGGACUUUGUCUCAAUUCUUGACAGCUUAUCUUAAUUUCAAUGGUUGCAAUUACAGUUUAACUGGCAUUGCAUCAUAAGGAGUAGUUGGUGGAGUUUGGAAUUAUUUUAAAGAAUUGGGUGAUAAAUAAUAUGUUCACAAAGGAAGAGAGACCAUAUAUUUCUGAUUGAGCAAUAAUUAAUUAACAAUCAUAAUAAUUUUCACUUUAUUUUCUAUCUAUUUCUUUUCUUUUAAUUACAUAACUCAUCACGUUUGUUUUCUAUCUCUCCUUUUUGCUCUCAAUUUCUAUUUUAAAAUAAAGUGUGAAUCAAGUUUUUACUUUCUGACUUGCCCUGUCAACAAAUAUAAUAGUUACUUAUUGCAAACCAAAUUAUAACGUAACCUUUUUUUUUCAUUAUUAUAAAGAUUUUGAAUAACAGGAAGAGUGUUUGAAAAUGAUGAACAUCAACAUCAUUAAUUUAAUUGUACGAUAUACUUUGAGUGGGAUGGUGCAAUUGCAUAGGGGGCCUUUAAUAUUGCAAAGGGAUGACUGAAUUGAUAAGGAGAAAUUAUUUUUAAAAAAAAUUAAUUCUAUCUUCAAUUUCCAUUGCGGAUUUGAGAGCCGUGUUGGAUGAAUAAUCUAUAUGUAUUUCUGUAAGUUGUUUAUGGUCCCGGUGACAAUUCUUAAUCCGUAGUAAUUAGAGUUAAACACACCCAAAUUUUUAUUUAAAAAAAAAAUAUAUUGUAGAAAGCUCUAAAAUAUAAUGCUUAUGAUAAGAGGAAGUGGUAAUACUAAAACGAAAAUGGUAGCAGAAAAUUAAUUAGGGACACUGUAGUUAUAGGCAAAUUCUUGUGAAAAAAUUGUGUAAGAAAAACGAGGAGGGAAAAGCAUAGAAUAUGAACCGGUAGUGAAGUGGGUUGUUAUAAUAUUGGUUACGUAUUUCAUUUUUAAAUAAGUGGUUGUGAUUUCAAUUUUUACCUCUUAGUUUAAAAAAAAAAUAUAGACCAGCUAUUUGCAGCUUAAUGCGCUGACAUGAGACUAAUGAUUAAUUACACGAUUCAUUUACAUCUUAUUUUUUCUUCCACCUCAUUUUAUUUAUUUUCUCUUAUUCAUUUCUUCUUUCCUAUUAGACAUAGCUUUUACUUCUCUUUUCUGAUUUUUUUUUUAUAGGCUUCUGAUUUUCUGUUAUCUUAAUCUUGUGGUGGAAUUUGGAGGUGGAUUUAGUUUCAUUGAAUGUGAAACAAAGUUGUUAAUUAAUGCGAUAGAGAAUGAUAAAAUAAAUGUAUUUUAAAAGCUUUAAAAAUAUUCAAUUUUCAACCUGAAAAUAAAGUAAUGUGUAAUAUGCAGUAUUCUUCCUAAAAAUAUAAGCUCCUUAAUGUUGGGUCUACUUUUACACAUUUUAAAUUACCAUUUGCACACUAGCUAUAGAAAAAGCUUAUGCUCAAAACAAUAAAUAUAUAUUCAAACUCCAGCAAAGAGAUGAUGAAAUAAUGAGUGCUGUGAAAAAAAUGGAAAUAAAAAUGAGAGAAAAUGAGAUUGAGAUGGUAUAAAAAUUAGAGUGUGAAUGUAUAAUUCUUCUCAAAGUAUCUUUUAUAUAAUUUUCAACUUGUACUCUCAUGCCUCUUACUUGGCUGAAGCGCAAAGCCUUCUCCAUCAAGAUUGGGAAGUUUCCCUACAGCAUAAGACUAGGGAGCACAAUCGUCCUGCGAAUGCCUUAGCUAAGCUCGGAUUGAGGUUGCGUCUGGACUUCACUACUUGGAACUCACCUCAUGCUGAGAUAGCUCCUCUAGUGGGGUGUGGCUAGUUUUUAUUUUGUUUCUUCAUUCUGCGUUGUUGUUUUUCUAUUUCCCAUUUACCAAAAAUAAAACAAGCUAAACUUCUAGAAAUCAAUUUUUAUGCUUUUAGAAUUUUAAGGAAGAGUUAAACUUUUGCAUUCGAAAGUUCAAGUCUAAGAAGAAAAAAAAUGUUGACUGAACGACUUAUGAGAGUUACUUAACUUCACCCUAAUUCAUUAAUAUGAUUAUUUAUAAAUAAAUUAAUAAAUAAAAUAUGAAAAUUAUGUUCCACUUGUCUUAACUGUGAUUGAUCUAUAUAGACCAUGAGUUAUUUCACCCAAACUUUUCCAUGGAUCAUUUAGACAACCUUAUAAAAUACUUGGAUUAUGGAAGUUUAAGUUGUAAAAACAAAUCCGCUCUCACACUCUAGAUUUGUCAUUUUCGAGAAAAGAUGUUUACACUUUUAGAAGUUAAGUUUUAGAUUCUAUCGUUUCUGUAUUUUCAGAAUUUCAAUGUAUGAAAGUGUACAAUUUUUUUGUUUUUGAAAGUUCAAGAACCAAAGUAUAAUUAAUGAGAAAAAACUUACACGUCCGGCAGCUUAAGUUCUAAAAAUUACCUUUUUACUUCUAUGAUUUCGUCUUCCAAAUGUGUUACUUCCGAAAAUUCAAGUUUUUCCGAAGGCAAACCAAAAUCCUUGCACCGUAGCGCAACAUGAGGUGGUUCGUCAUCUCUCCAAAAUCGCCACAUAAAGGGCAGCAAGGGUCCACAUCAACGCCUCGACAUCUAAGACCUUCCCAAACAACAAGAGUUCUAGAGUUUAGCUUCUAAAAAAAAAAUGUAUAUAAUGUUAUUUUGGGAAGAAAUUUUUAGAGUACCCAAAUAGUAAUUUUGGAUGUGUAAAAACUAAAAAGUAAUCUCAUAGCUAACUAAGCCUCAAUGGUUCUUUAAUUGGAUUUGAUUAUUACAACCAAAUCUGCCCAAAUGGAAAUUGUUCUCAAGCUCCUAGUGCCUUCAAACACAACCUUUACCAACUAGACCAGAAUUGGGUUUAAAGUCCCACCCUUUAGGAUACUCGCCCCACCCUUUUUUUUUAUCCCAAAAGUACUCCACGGUUAAUUAUUAACCGUAUUCCAUAUAUGGAACACGAUUAAUGAUUAACCGUGUUCAAUAUAUGGAACACAGUUAAUGAUUAACCGUAUUUUUUCCCACAGUGUGAACAACUUUGCCACCGUUACUCCUCCUUCCACCAAAGAACAAAUACGGUUAAUGAUUAACCGUAAUGAAUUAACCGUAUUAUGUCCUGACAGUGUGAUCACCUUUUCCACCAUUACUCCUCCCUCCACCAACUCCUCUCAGGCCCCCUGUACUUUAUCUGACAAACAGCAGGUCACAGACCAUUACUCAUUUCCACCAACAUUACCCUCCUCAACUCCCUCACAUUUCUUCUUCCCACCACCACCAACAUCUCCACUUUCCUUCUUUCCACCACAACCACCACCAAGGGAAGCUUUAAACUCUUGGCAAGUGUUGUUAGUUUUUAGAACUUUAUUUAUAGUUAGUUUAAGUAGUUAGUUGUCAGUUUAGUAGUUAGUUUAGGUAGUUAAGUUGGUAGUUUAAGGUUUUUGUAUCGUGAACAAAUACGGCAAAUGAAAGUUCAUAUUCAAUACAAAAUUUGAUUUGCCGUAUUUAAUAUGAACUGUGAUUUGCCGUAUUGAAUGUGAACAUUGAUUUACCGUAUUGGAUAUGAACAUUGAUUUACCGUAUUCACUUCCAGAGAUGACAUAUUCUUAUGUUUUUGGUGAGUCACAAUUGAUAAAUGCUGAAAAUGAUCAUCUUAAAGAGGAGCAACCAUCACCAUUUGAACCCCCGAGUAUAACUAUAGAUGUCUCCCAUUUGUAUGCGACUAAUCAGGUACUCAUUGAACAAAUUUUUGCAUGUUUUCUUUAUGCUUUGUCUAUGCCUUGUUUAUGCCUUAUGCCUUGUUUAUCAUUAAACAUUGUUUCCCUACACGAGUUGAUCUUCUGAAAUGGGUUCACGACAUUUCUAUUAGAAAUAAAUUUGUUCUGGUGAUCACAAAGUCUGAUAGUGGUGCGAAUGGAAGAAAAGAAUAUGUGCUUCUGGGGUGUGAGAAGCAUGGUGAGUAUGCUCCCUACAAAGACUCUGAUCUUGUUGAAGGAACGACAACACAAAAGGAAGGUUGCCCAUUUAGACUCAAAUGACGACCUACGAAAAAUGGUAGAGAUUGGUGGCUGAAGGUGAUGGAUGGUAAACACAUCCAUCAACCAGGUAGGUCACUACUUGGCCACAAUUACGCUGGUCGACUAACUAGUGUUGAGAAGGAGGAAGUGAUAAAACAGGCUAAGAUUUGGGUUCCACCGAGAAAGAUGUUGUUGUCUUUGAAGGAAAAAAAUCAUGCAAACUUGUCUACCAUCCGACAAAUUUAUGGUGUUUGCAAGAGGUUUAGACAAUCUGUUCGUGGGUCAUUGACAGAGAUGCAACGAUUGCUGAAGAAGUUGGACGAUGACAACUAUGUUCACUUUGAAAGACAUGAACCCGGAUCGGAAGUCAUUAGAGAUGUAUUUUGGGCUCAUCCGAAUGCUGUCAAACUGUUCAACACAUUCCAUUUUGUAGUGAUCAUGGAUUGCACUUACAAGACAAGCAAAUAUAAACUCCCCUUGCUCGAGAUUGUUGGUCUGACUUCCACAGAUAAGACAUACUCCAUAGAAUUCUGCUACAUUGGCAGUGAGGCCACAUAUGACUACAUUUGGGCAUUGGAGUGUAUGAAGUCUCUUAUUGCCGACCAAUCCAGGUUGCCUACAGUGAUUGUGACUGACCGAGAUCUGGCCUUAUUGAGUGCUGCUAAACAAAGCCUUCACACCACUACCCAUUUAUUAUGCUUGUGGCACAUAAACAAGUGUGUUUUGGCAAAGUGAAAAUUGUAUGUUGGCACGGAUAAUUUUGCUGCAGAGGUUAUGGAGAAGUGGGCCAACUUGGUAGAUGCUUCAACAGUUGAAGAAUUUGAAGGUCUUUGGAUGGAAUUGUUUAAAAUGUGCAAGGAUAAAUACAUAAACUUUAUCACUUAUUGUUCUACUACAUGGUCGGUCCACAAGGAGAAAUUUUCCAAGGCAUGGACAAAUCAUGUGAUGCAUUUUGGAACAACAACAAGCAACAGGUACAAGAAAUAUGUUAUUACUUGUUAUAUGUUUUUCAUUUGAUAGAUUAUUACAGUAUUAAUUCUUAUAUGUUUUAAAGUAUAAAGUAAUAAGGCGCGCUGUUUGUUUGCAGGGCUGAAGAUGCACAUGCCAGCUUGAAGAGGAUGUUGCGGAACAGCAAGGGCGACCUGGCCACUUCAUGGGAUGCGUCGCAUAGUUUGACCAUGAAUCGUCACACUGAGAUAGUAGCAUCGUUUGAGCGCAGUAUUAACAGAAUUGAUCACAUUUUCAAGACCCCAUUCUACAUAAAUAUUAGAGGAUUUGUGUCAAACAAAUGCUUGCAACUCAUUGAUGCUGAACAGACAAGAACGAAGUCCUACGGCGGCAGAUGCGAUUGCUUAUUGAGAGAGACUCAUGGACUACCUUGCGGUUGUCAACUUGCAAGUUACCGGUCAACCACUCUCUUGUCAACUUUUUCUAUUUGUUAUUGAAUGUGACACGUUUGUGAACUUGCAGGUUACGAAAGAAUUCCGUAUGAGGCAAUUCAUCCAUUCUGGAAGAGCCUAAGUUAGGAGCAUGUACCUGUUGCAGAGACUGGCAGCUCAAAUAUUUGCGGCCUAAACCAUGGAGAAAUGCACCCAGAAGUAGAUGCACUGACACUGGAGGGCAGAGUAUGGUUAGGAGGAAGCUUCGGGCGAUAUAUUGUCCUGAAAGCAGUUCACUGUGUACUCCUGAGGUUCAGAUAAAGUCCAACCACACUCUUACGUUGAAGGAGAGCAAACCACCCAAGGGUCAAGCAAUAGGAUCCUUGACUCGUGAUCCUUCAGGGUUUGAACAUGUUGACAUGGAGAUCAAAGCGGCAAAGAAGGCUUCACAAGCAGCAAAGAAGGCUUCACAACCAGCAAAGAAGGUUCACAACCAGCAAAGAGGAAGAAGUGUGUGAAGAAUUCUGAUACAAGCUAUUUCAUGAGUCAUUUUCCAGCCUUUCUCCAUCCAUAUAUAGACGGAGUUACAAAUGUUGAGGAUGAUGGCAACUGUGGCUAUAGAUCCAUUGCUGCAUUACUGAGGCAUUCCUCUGGUGAGGACGGUUGGCCUUGGGUUAGAGCAUCGUUGAUAGGAGAACUUGAUCAUAAUAGGUUGAUGUAUGAGUCCAUGUGGUCCGGACAGAUUGUUACUGCCUUACAUGAUCGACUCACUCUUCCUUAUGGUGACCCAGCCACCCCUGAUAAAUGGAUGCAACUGCCAGAGAUAGGAUACAUUAUGGCAAAAAGGUUCCAAGUGGUUUUCAUAACCUUCUCCUCUAUGGGUUGUAACACAUACCUUCCACUGAGAGGAGCCGGUCUACCAGAUGUGCAUUCUAUUAUAGCUAUUGGUCAUGUGAUAAAUCACUUUAUACAUGUAUAUUUUGAUUAAGUACACUAAUAUUUUGGUUACCUACUAGCUUGUCAAUUAAUUUUUGUAUUUGGAAUUUAUCUAAUUAUGUGGUUAUUCCCUAUAAUAUAGCUUCAUUUAACUCCUGGACACCCUAUGCUGCCUUUUGUUCCCCAGUGGCAAUGUCAUGCUAAUACUGCCUCCAAAUACUGAGGCAUUCCAUAUGGUCCACGUUUAGCCAUGUUCGCUGCAGAAUUCCAAGCUUGACUUGCGAAUUUUGGUGGUCCUCUUGGUCCUAGUCAGGCUAGCUAUGUGGAUAUCACCACGGAUUGAGUGUUCCCUAUUGUGUAAUAUUCAUUUGUAAACGCUCUGUAAUAUUAAUUUGAUGGCCCUUAUCCUUAGGUUGUUAAGCAGUUCACUAUGUAGACAUCACCACGGAUUGAGUGUUCCCUAUUGUGUAAUAUUCAUUUGUAAACGCUCUGUAAUAUUAAUUUGAUGGCCCUUAUCCUUAGGUUGUUAAGCAGUUCACUAUGUAGACAUCACCAUAGAUUGACAGGUCACUGCGUGCAAUGUUCAUUUGCUGAAUAGUAAAGCUCAUUUGACAUUUCAUUUCAUUAUCAAAGUCUUGUCAUUUCCAUCCACUACACAACAAACUAGAAACCUGACAUUACUCUCAAUCACCAACCCCAACCACACUUCUACCAGCCACCAAUACACCAUAAAUCUUCUGACCAUUCUGCUAUAAAUCUCUAUUGUGUAUUGCCUCUUCUUCUUACUCUUCAUCCUCUUCUUCCUGUCUUGUAACCUAGACAAAAAAAAAAAACACACAAUGGAACAAGACCCAAAUGCAUUCGUCCGCCAUUGCAAACGUCAAAGCAACACUUCUGGCAGCUCUCGUCCUCUCAUUCCUGGCCCGGCUGGCGCCAUCCAGGCUGCCAUGUAUGCCCGUAGAUCCACCCCUAACACACCACUAAUUCCGAACCAGGAAAUCGUGAGGCGUGUGCUCGAACACGGAUCAACCGAAACCGAUCAUGAUUUCAAUUCAAAUGCUUGGCUAUCAGCCCUGCAAGAGUGGGGAUUUGCCACUCCGCUGGGCUCAAUGACAGCGAACGUUGAGAGAGUGGAGAAUGUUGUUGCUGUUAUCAAAUCUUGCACUCCCAACGGUUUCGGAGAUGCGAAAGCUACCCUCAAGGUAUGUCCUUGCUUUUAUCCCCCUUGCUUUUGUCCCCCUUCUCUAACCGUACAUCGUUCCUAUUUAUUUCUCUCACGAUUGCAAUAAUUUAAGACCCUACGGGUACCGUUGAUGCUAGCAUCCAUCGUAAGACCUUCACUCACAGUGAAUUUGCGAAUGACAUAACUGUUGGAUCUGUUCUCGUUCUCCAAAAGGUCUAUCCUCUAGAACCUAAAUAUUAAGCUUGCUUCAUUUGGACAACUAUGCAUGGUUGGAUUAAAGUCUGCAAUUUACUUGCAGGUUGCUCUGUUUGCACCUAGAAGAUCUGUUUGUUAUCUUAAUAUAACAUUGCCCAACAUAGUCAAGGUAUUUCUAAAGGAUUGCGGACCCAAUGACUUCAUCGAUAUCAUAGAGGAAUAAUUUUGUUUUUCAUGUUUCUUCUGGUUAAUUUGGUUGUGUAACCUUCGAACUGUUUGUCAUGGAUGAUUUAUGUUAUUUUACCUGCAUUGGAUUAUUUAUGUUGUAGUUGCUACUCUUUUUUUCAUUAUAAGAGUCUUAAUAUUAAGACUAAAAUAGAAAGCAUGUAAAUAAAAAGAGUCAUAAUAUAAAUAGUCUCAUAUGGUCCACAUAAAAAUAUACAUAACAUACAAGAGUCAUAAAAUCACUCUCCCCGACCCCGAUCCCUACGACCUCCUCUAGGUCUACGAGCUCUACCUCCACGAGUACCCUCUCCACGAUCACCCUCUCCACGAGCUCUGCCUCCAUGGGCUCUGCCUCCACGAGUUCUGCCUCCCGCAGCUGCGGUUCCUCGAACAGCAGCAAAGGCAACUCCCUGGGUACCAACGAAGGAACUCGAUCUAAAAAGUUCGAGCGCCCUCUCAGUGAGGAGUCGGGCCUGUGUGCCUACUGCAAGAGCACCUGACACCUCCAGUGGCUGCUCCAACAUCUCCACACCCCUACGCAUAGCAGACUGCAAAAAAUAAUAUACAUGUUUAGUUACAAAGAAAAUGUCAUUAACAAAAAUCACAAUUGAAUGGAUAAAAUAAUAUACAAGUUUAGAAUCUAAACUUACCACGGCACUGAGUUCCUCCCUCCUAUCAUCAGGGAUGAUGAACCGAUGGGACACUCUGCAAUACCACCUCAUGUAAUCUGACACCCCGUCUCCCGGACGUAUAGCAGGGAUCCCAUGAGGGACCAGGUGCGGCACGUAGUCAGCAUAGGCAUCAUCUGUGGUCUCAGCAAGGGACCCCAUCGUCUGGAUCUCAGAGGGGUGUCGAGGGAUAUCCUGUAUGUAGCCAAACUGGCGCAUAACCCUCUCUGGUAGAUGUCGCCUCACAGCCCGGCCGAAAGGUGUCCUGAUGUAGGCAGAAUAGAGGGCCCUCGAAUCCCGCGGUUGAUGAUCCCGAUGGUCCUCAAAUGGGGUCCAUAUGAUGUCAUCCACCGUAAACUCAUCAAGCAUGACUCGUCUCUCAUCGAGUCUGGCAUGCCCGAUCCGGGACGUAAACAACCGCUACGCCGUAGGCUGGUCCUGUGAGUAGUCCGGAACCGCCCUCCUGAUAAUGACGCGGUCAAAAAUGUACUCAUAUGCCCAUGACACCAAGAGCGAGGUGAACCCUCCCAUCUGGGCUGUCUUUCUACGAGAUGCACAACUAAGCUGGUCGUACAACGUAGUUAGCGCAAUCGCGCCCCACGCGUACUUCGGCACUCGCCCAAGGUCCUCCAGCAUCCCAAUCCAGUAGACAGUCGUGUGAUAUCCCUCGCUCUUGCUGGCAAAGAGCGUCGCGCCAAGCUAGUUCACCAGCCAAAUCCGGGCAGCAUCCUCAUACCGGUGCUCUACAAUGAAAUGAAUUAAGUUAACAAUUUAUAAUAAUACGCUAAAAAUAGAUACAAUUUAAUCAAGUAAUAAUGAAGACAUACCACCCAAAGCAAUCUCAUACAGGGUCUUCAACAUAAAGAACCGAAUAGUCUGGCCAUGCUUCGCAUCAAACUCCUCAAGAUAAUCAGCGGUGGAUCCUCCCAUGAGCUGGACGCAGAGCGCUGCACACUCAUCUCGCUCCCCCUGCCAGGCGUGUAGAACCUCGACCCCAUGGGGAGAUGGAGAAGAGCCGACACAUCGUCCAAGGUGAUAGUCAUCUCCCCGAACGGCAUGUGGAAGCUACUGGUCUCCUCAUGCCACCUCUCAACAAGGGCCAAUAUGAGGCCUGGGUCUGUCUCCGGGUAUCCGCACCAAGGUAGGUGAUACAAACCCGUCUGCUGCAGCAGCUGUCGAACCUGUGUAUGGUUGUCUGAAUCGCCAUCACAAGGGAGGUUCCAUACCUUCCCCCCAACCGUGGCCAGCCUCAAUGCUCGACGGUCUAUGUACCGCGGGUCUGUGCGUAGGAGUGAAUGCCACGUCCAGGGAGCCUUGUGAUCAGCAUAAUGCGUGAGAAGCGACAGGUCAUCAGGCCCCCCGGAAACGGUGCCACCCUCUGGAUCAGGUCAUCAUCACCGCCAUGUGCACCCUCUGGCACGACAUCAGCAUCAAGCUCCUCCUCAAGAAUAUGCUCCUCCUCACUACUCCCCUCUCGCUCAUGGUCAGAAGAAGACUCCUCGCCAGAUGUCUCCUCGCUGGAAGGCUGCUGAGGAAUGGCAUAGGGAGAUAACUCAACCAUCGGAGACGGAGGAGUAGGAACCGGAUCUGAAAGGUCAACCACAGGAUCCAGCACAGUAGCAUCCAUAGCGGAAGACUCUCCCCUGGUAGACGGCACGGAAGCAGCCGGAGCUGAAGACUCAACCAUGGGCGACGACAUAGUAGCAGCCGGAGCUGAAGACUCGACCGCCUGAGUGGCUGCACCAUGAUCGCCGCGCCGGCUAGAAGCAUGCAAGCGUCGGUGUCGAUCCUCGGUACCCUCUACAUCCUCACUAGUAGAUCGAGACCUCUUUUCGCCCUUCAUUCUCGCUAUCGAUUCAAAGCAAACAAAUUUAAUAGCAUUAACAUCAAAUUUUAUCAAUUAUUUCAAUAUGAAUUAUUCAAUAUUCAAUUAUCUAAUUUAUCUCAAUUAUAUAAGUAAUUUCAACUAUCUAUGUUAUCUCAAUAUUAAAGAAUUCACUAAAUAAAUUAUCUAUUUUCACUAAUUAAAUAUGCAUUUUAAAUAUUUUCACUAAAUAAGAAAAAUAAAAUCUGGCUUAAAAAACGGUUAAUCAUUUUCCAUAAUGAAAACAGUUAAUCAUUUUCCAUGUUGAAAACGGUAAAUCAUUUACCAUGUUGAAAACGGAAAAUGUUUCACCGAAUUUACAGUGAAACACAUUCACGACAUAGGCGUGAAACCCACUCGUACCCAUACUCAUUUCAUGCAAUUUCAGACAACACAACCUACCUCUAAUCAUCAAUCGACUACCCUAGUGUUGAAUCAUUCACCUAAUUUAAACCUAAAUGGUGAGAAUCGGUGAAAAUCAAAACUUACCUUUUGAAUGUAAUGAAUGAGAGUUCUAGUUCUUUGAGGGAGCUUUGGUGAUGAUGAGAACGGAGCUUUGAAGGAGAUAUGGUUCAGGAACGCACGUUUGGGAGCGAUUUGGAGAAGGAGCGAUUUGGGGAGGGAAAGUGAGUUUUGAAAAUGGGGUUGAAAAUGACUCUGGUUCCUGUUAUAAGUUUAAAUAAAAAACGGUAAAUGAUUUGUCAUAUUAAAAACGGUUUAUCAUUUACCGUGUUCUAGUCAGGAGGGACUUUACGGUAAUUUCCCCACUUUAAGUGGGGUGGGGAGCCUAAGGGCUGGGGCGUUAAACCCGAUUUCCCAACUAGACCACUCAUCACCUCUUCUCCACUCACAACACCUCCAAUGUUUCAAACUUGCAAAACCAAGUGAUGAGGAUUCCAUUCCAUUUCCUCCAAAUCCCCAAUCUAUAACCAAACACUAACUUCACUCUUCACUCCCUAUUUUCAUUUCCAAUUUUCACUUUCAUGUCACUUCAAUAAUCCAUCCUUCUUAGAUUCAACAUCUCACCACAAUGGACAUCCUCUUCGCGCAGAUCCAGGCGGAUCUCCGCUCCAACGACGCGCUCCGCCAAUCCAGCGCCCUGCUGCAAGCCCUGCAGCAGUCCGCGGCGGGGCGCGACAUCGCGGUAAUCGCCAAAACCGUCGUGGAAGAGAUCGUCGCAGCACCGGCCUUCACCGUCUGCAAGAAGCUCGCCUUCAACCUCAUCUGCUCCACGCGCCUCACCCCCGACCACUGGGACACCGUCUGCGGCGGCAUCCGCAACGACUUCCACUUCCCCGACCUCGACGUCACCGCCGCCGCCGUCUCCAUUCUAGCCGCGAUCCCGUCCUACCGCCUUGCCAAGCUCAUCGCCGACUGCAACAAGGAGAUCUCCGACUGCUUCGACUGCCCCAGCGACACUCUCCGAUUCUCCAUCACCAAAACCCUCGGCUCCGUUCUUGCUCGCGAUGACCUUGUCACGCUCUGCGAGAACAAUGUCAACCUCCUCGUCCGCGUCUCCGCCUGGUGGACCCGCAUCGGCAACAACAUGCUUGACCGUUCCGAUAUCGUCGCGAAGGUCGCGUUCGAUUUCGUCGGGAGGCUCUUCCAGGAGUUCACCACCAAGCGGUUGAGCAGACUCGCCGAAGAUAAGCUCGUCGACAGUGAGAAUUCCCUUGCAAUCCGGUCCAAUUGGGUUUCCUCCAUGGUUGAUCUCGUUUGGAGGAAGCGCAAUGCCCUCAUGGCGCGAUCGUUUGUUUUGCCUGUCGAGAGCUUCCGCGCCACGGUGUUUCCCGUUGUUUACUCCGUUAAGGCCGUCGCCUCCGGUAGCGUCGAGGUGAUUCGGAAGCUGUCCAUGGCUUCUGGUAAUGCUGCCGGGGGUAAUGAGGUUGAUUCCAAUGCGGAGAAGUUGGUGGGUGUUUCGGAUGUCGUUACUCACUUGGCACCCUUUUUGGUUUCGUCGUUGGAAUCGGCGUUGAUUUAUGAGGUGGGGAUUAAUAUGCUUUAUCUGGCUGAUGUGCCUGGAGGGAAGCCUGAGUGGGCAUCACAAUCCAUCAUCGCGAUUCUUACGUUGUGGGAUAGGCAGGAAUUUACAUCUGCUAGAUAGAGUAUUGUUAGAGCUGUUGUUACCAAUCUUCAUCUCCUUGAUCUUAACAUGCAGGUGAUGCCCCCUUUUGUAUCUAUAUCAGUUUAUUUUGAUCAAUAGUCUUCACUUGUCAAUUGUCAUAAACUUUUAAGUUGGUGGUACUUUGGCCUGUGAAUUAUGAGAGAAUUUCACUACUCUAUGCAUACAUGGUCCUUGCUAAUGAUGAAGUGAGGGUCUGAGGAACAAUCCAUGUUCUUAGUUUCUUUCACUAAUUUAGGAUCUGAGGAAUCAGUUCAGUUCGCAUGCUUUCUUUUUUGAUUUUUGUUCGCUUCGUUGGCAUUUUAUUGUGACCUAAUUUGAUUAUGUUCUUGAUACUUCCCUUUAGCAUGAUAAGUAGUUUUUUCAAUCACUAAGGGGUAGGGAGGUUUAUAAAUUAUAUCUUAUUUUAUCUUGGUUUUUAGGCAUUUAGUUGACAUAAUUUAAAAGGAAUUAUGUUGAAUAUUUGUUAAGAUUUAGUCUAUUAUUAGUUUUAUCUCAUUGAGAUAUAGUUAAGAUUUAUUUCUCUAUCUUAGAUUAGUAUCUAUUUAAAUAGAUAUGAUAUCUAUUUAAAUAGAGAUAUGAUUAGAUAGAUUUAGUUUCUUUUUAUCUCUAAUAUCUAUUUAAAUAGAGAUAUGAUUAGAUAGAUUUAGUUUCUUUUUAUCUCUUUGCUAAUCUAUAUAUAUUGUAGUUUAUAGUCAAAAGUAUUGUAAAUGAAAUAUACACAAUAAUUAUUUUAUCAGAUUCAAGUGAUUACGAGCAAUUUUUUGUUCCGUUUGAUUCUGAACUGUUUGCGUGGAAUUGAAUCAUCGUGGUGGUUUAGGUUUUAGGAUAUGUCGUCGGGACGGCAAGCUGGUCAGAAACUAUUGCAAUUGAUGUGAUUGAUAUGCAACUCAAUUAGCUUCUUUAAUUGCUUCUUUGGAUUAUUCCAUACAGAGUAUAAUGUAUUAAACCAAAUUAAACUCCAAACUUUCUUCCAUUCCACCAAAUAAAUUAAACUCCAAACAUAAAUGCUACAAUAUUUAAAAUAACACAUGCAUUUUAUUUAUUACAAUAGCAAUUGUAUAUAGACUGCAUGAGGUAAUCAAUACAAGGUUGAUACAAUCUGAAUGAAACGAAACUAGUUGUUAUCAUACCAAGACUGCUUUUGAAGAUAAUCAAUUAUGCUCUUAUCCACUUGGAAAGCUUUGGUAAGAACCUCUUUAGAUAUAGGGGGAUCAGCUUUAAACAAAGCAUUUGCAAUGGUGAUAACUCCAGGAUUUUGACUACUCAAUCCAGCAAUAGCAACUGCAUUUCCAUUUCCCACGUUCAAUUGGAAAUGAAUGAGACCAAUUGGGAACACAAACACAUCACCUUUGUUGAGCACUUUGGUGAAGAGACGAUUACCACCAUUUGCGUUAUUGGAUGUGACAAAUCCAACGUAGAGAGUUCCUUCAAGGACUAUAAGGAUCUCUGUGGCUCGAGGGUGAGUGUGUGGAGGGUUUAAACCUUUAGGUGCAAAAUCUAUGCGAGCCAAAGAUAUGCCAAGUGUGUUUAGUCCAAAUAGUUGCUCAACUGUGACAGGGGUCACUUUAGAGCCAAGUGGAUUAGAGGUGUUCCCAGGUUCAACAUGUUUGAAGAAAUCUUCAGCUUUCACAAGUGCAGGGUCUUUGCAGAAUUUUCCGUUCACAAAUACUGUAAAUUAUGCAUAAACAAUUUUUAAUUUAAUAUUAUAAUUAGGGAAAGAAAAAAUUGGUAAAAGGACGAAAAAUUAACAUAUUAAUCACGUUUUUAUUAAAUUAAUAAUUACUAAUUGGAGGAAACGGUGUGGGAAUUUGUUUAAAAUGACAAAUACAACAUUUGAAUACUACUAUUCGAGCUACCACUAAGGUAGUCAGUGUAGCUUGGUCUAAGGAGUGAGUCACACUUCAACUCUGAUAUGCGCACAAGGCUUAAAGGCUUGGAGAACUGUGUAUUUACCGAGCUAUUACUCAUAGUAGUCUAACCUAAGAAACGAGUCACAUUUCAAGCCUAAUAUAAGCACGAGGCAAUUAAGAGCUUGGAGGGUUGCGUGUCUAUCAAACUACCACUCAUGGUGGUCCGACCUCAAGAGCUAACAAGUGGGCAACUCCAAUAAAGGUGAAGCCCUAUCUAACAAAAGGCACAAGUAACCCUCAAAUUAAGUAGUUGUGUAACCCCACUUUCAUUAGCCAAUCACUACGUCAUUUAAUUAUCUAAUAAGUCAUGUCACAAAUAAUAACAUUUGGGUUGAAGGAAUUAUGAGGAUUUAGGAAACAUACCACCAUUUUUUGGGUCAUUGAUUCCCACACAAAAAUCUUGUAGAGGGCUCGGGUCAUAGGCAGAGGCAAAAGAGGAUGCCAAAGCCAUGGUAACAAGGAAGUAGACAACUUCCAUUUUGGCUCUCAGUACUAUUACUCUUCAAUGAUUUUGUGUACGUAUGUAAUUACUUGUGUGUGAAUUGAUAUUUGAUGCAUGUGAAGCUUGCUAUUUAUAAGGAUAAAACAUUGAAGUGGCUUGCUGUUUAUAUUUACCGCAAUUAAUUUUCUAAUUAACAAUGAACCAUUCUUUAACAACUACAUGAGAGCUUGAUCAAAAGAGUGGACUAAGUAGGUUAAGCAAUUGUUUCUGAAUUGCGUCGUCUGACUGGGCAAUGGUACAUGUUCUUGUAAUAUGGUGAAACCCAUGACCAGGCGUAAAUAAAAAAUUAUUUUAGACAUUGUCCCAAUUCUUGAGAGAUUAUUUUUCUAUGUUUGCAUACUACAGCUUAACAUUGUCAUAAGGAGUAGUUGGUGGAAUUUGUUGGGUGAUGAAUGAUAUAUCCACAAGAAGAGAGAUACCAUUUCUGAUUGAGGUAUACUUCAUUGAUUUCUAUUUCUUUACUUCAUUUCUACUUAUUUUUUAAUCUAUUUCUUUUUUUAAUUACAACACACAUCACAUCUUUUAUUUAUUUUCUUUUUAUUCUUAUAUAUUUUUUCUCCACUCUAUUUCCACCUAAAAUAAGUGUGAAUGAAAUUGUUCCAAACCUGAUUUGCCGUGUCAACAAAUAGUUUACUUAUUGCAAUCCAAAUUAAAACGUUACUUUUUUAUUAUUAUCGUGAAGUUGUGUAAUAACAGGAACAGUAUUUGAAAAUGAUGAACAUCGAGAUCAUUAAUUUAAUUUUGUAUAUGAUGUCACCUAAAUUAAAAGAAUUUCAAGUCAGUAAAAAAUUUUAGAUUUUGGAUGGAAAACUGACUAGAUCGCUCAUACCAAGAUGGGCAAGUAAAAUAUUCUCCUACACAUUAAACAUAUUUUGGAAAUUUUGCUGUAAUAUUCACAUUUUAUUAUUUUAAAGACGCAAAAAUAAAAUGAUUCAGAAAUUGAUCCUACGAACAAAUCGGGCGUGUCCAAGUCAAAUAAAACACAUAAUAAUUUUAUGCGCAGAUAUUCAGGGUCAUGGAACUAACAAAAUACAUGUAUUCAUUUUUAAAUUCAUCCUAAUUGAGCCUUUUAAUUUGUUCUGUGAAUUUACCUCCUGUUUUUAUAAAUUGAGAACAUAAAAGCAAGUAAACAACAUCAAAAGAUGGAAAGCACAAAGGGAAGAGAUUGAUAAAAGAAAGAAACACAUCCAAUCAAAAGAAAAUGGGCAUUAUCUCUUACUCUGCUCUUUUUGGGGCUUAUGUCACACUAUCUAAGAUACACGUGAAUAGAUUGAAGACUACACGAAAUAUAUAAAGAGAAACCAAGAUUUUGAAAUGGCAAUACCUUAUUUCCUGUGUGUUUCGUUGGGCUCUUCAGCCAUAGAGCCCGACGGCACUGCAAUCGAUCUAUAAGGGUUUGCUCUUAAGCACACAUCAUAAGGUCACAUGUGCAACCUAGUUCAAGAACGAAUCACUUCGGUCCAACUUACAAAGGGUUGAGAUGAAACACUUAAAGCGUUACGACACUAAGCCAACCAUGCGCCCAGAAGCACCAUGUAAGGGCUUCCCUUGCACUUGAGGAGACACUAAACACAUAUACCAACCUUAUACAUAUAAGUUUUAUCGUUCAUUCACAUAACAUGCUAUUCGAUCUUAGAAUUAUUUGAGUUCUUUUAAGACUUAUGGAUUCUCUCCUUGCUCACACACUGACUUGAGCGUCAGAGUCUCUUUUGCAGGUACUCCCCCCCGACAUUCAAUGUCAGCACCCUCAGUCUCACAAGCGAGUCACGACCGAGCACCGCCGUAGAGCCUGAUGAAAGAUGAUUUGACAAAAGAGGUUUUCCUCCACUAACUAGUUUCAAAUCUCUUUAAUUUCAAGACUCAAUCGUAGUAUAAUAUCAGAUUUUAACAUUUAUCAUUUCCACAAUAAUUGUGUUCCUACGUAUUAAUCUUACUACCUAGACAUUGUUUGAAUGAUUCAAAUGUGAUCAUUAUCUAACUGAAAUAACGGUAAAGAAAACGAUAAAAGAUAUACCCAAAAUAAUCCAACAUUAAACAUAAGCCACCCAAUCAAAUCUGCCUCAACCUACGAGACCUAAUAUUAGUUACAAUGCAGCCUUGAAGGGAAACUUCAUCAGAGCAACCAUAAGUCAAACCAAGUCGAACCUCUAAGGCCAAAGCCACUCUCGCCCGCGUCAUAACACCCAAAGGUAAGGCCCUUGGAACUCUGAGAAUCAGAGACACAAACUGAUUAUCCAAAGUGCCCACAACAACCUCCUAGGGGUCCAUAGAGGAGGGAAACUUAGGCUCCGCUACCAAAGGCGGGCUCUUCCCUUUCCUGGGUCGCCCAUGAGGGCGAGAAACCUUCACAAUAGAACACUGCCCUUUAACUACCCCUUCCCCUGGAUCAAAAACACCAGAAGAGGAAGAAGCUCCACUAAGAGACUUUUUUGGUCGACACCGACGUCUAGGAAGCCGCAAGGUCCUUCAACACCAAUACAAGAAGACUUUUCAAUCCCCUCAUAAGGCAGGGGACCAGAGCACCUUCCAUCAGCAACAGAAGAAGAAAUAACAGGACCAGCAAAGGGAGAAGAAACUCUAGCCACCAAGUGAACAACACUCUGUUGAACACAGUCCCACAGGGAGGGAAUCUCCAACUUCCAAGAGCGGUCAAGGCCAACAAAAAGGAGAUCGACCUUUGCAAGGCGACGCUGGUCGGAGUAAACCAGGACAACAAACAAAUUCACUUGAAAAAAGAAAAGACCUCAAGCAAGGAACUUGCUACCUUAGGAAUAACUCGGUACCCCGAAGGACCACCACGCACCAGAGCCUAGUAGCAUACCCUUCUAUACAAUUUUAUUUUUGAAAAACAUGGCAUGAAUUGGAAUAUAUACUUAAUUUUAGUCUUUAUUUUUAAAUAUUGUACAUUUACCUCACUUGAUGAGUGUGUAUUUUUGAGAAGGGUGUUUAUCUGUUACUAUUUUCUUUAAUAAUUUAAUAAAGUUUCCACUUUCAAAAAACAGAAAUCAUAAUAAUUUAAUAAUAACAAUAUAUUGUAUGUGUUUACAUAAGUAGACCAGCCAGUUGAGAAAAAAAAUCUUUCAAUUAACAUAAAACCUUAUCUUCAUAAUUAAAUACAAUUUUAAUACUGUUUGGCUAAAUUGUUUAAUAAACAAACCAAGUUAAAGAAAACAGACAAUUAAAAUUUUCAUAUAAACAAAAAAUAAUAUACUACAAAUUAAAAUAAUGUACUUUAGAUAGAUGAGAUCUCUCUUCGGUGCUCAUGUCACUAUAGAGGAUCCAGCCCCCAAAGGCCAACACAUUGGAAACAAACCUUAAUAGACAAGCAUGAUCUAAUAGUUGAGAAAAAAAUCAACAUAUUAAAGGAUCAUUGUCCUUGUACAAAACGAAGUAAAUUCCAAUUUUUGGAUAUUCACUUUAAGUUUAGCUUAGAUGAUCAAACCUUUGUGAAAGCGGUUGUUUUAAAAUUUCCAAGUAGUUCUACAAUGCCUUUUGCAUGAAUACCCUCUGAAUAGAAUUGUUGCUUACAUAUCUUUGUUGACUUUGUUUACUAGUCACAUUGCUUUCUAUUAAGGAACUUGUUGGCAUAAGGGGUGAAUCCUCCAAUGACAUAACCUAGUGGUUUCAAAAGUGCCACUUUCACAAACAUUCGGUCAGCUAAAAUAAAUUGGUGGUGAAUGUUCAAAAUCAUGGAUUUAUUUCGUUUUGUGACAAUAUCAUUGAUCCUUCAAUAAAUUGAUCUUUUUUUUACUAUAUUGGAUCAUACAUGUAUUUUUUUUUACAGCAAAAUGGAUUUAUUUAUGAAAAGAAAGGUACUGGGAACAACCCUCACAGUUGAGGAACAGAGGAAAGCUAGAUUAAACAAGAACAAUGCAGAAACGAAAAAUACACAUAAGAAAACAGAACAACAAUGAAACGAAAAAAGUAAAACACAGCAGAUAUGCCUUUUAUAGUCCCAAAACAAUCAUUCAAAGCCAGGUCAAAUUACAGAUCAAACAAGACAGAGGCUCCACAAUGUAACACCUUUAGCCAGUUGCAACGGACAAGAUUAACUCUUCCCCACUAUACAUUUGUUUCAUAAUCACUUAUGCGUUUUAACACUGUGGAGUCAUGAUAUUUGCAAUUACAUGCAAAUGCAUACCUAGGACAAAGCCAAUAGGGAUAAUUGAGGGUACUGUCAGUAAGUGGCACCCUAUGCAUACUCCCCUCAUUAACCGAAAAGAUUCCCAACUCACACUUAUCAUCCUUUGCAUGGUGGCCAAUGAAGUAUAUGUGGUCUUCUUGAAGCAUGGAGCAAUGUUUAGCGGGAAGAGAUUCGCAAUAUAAGCCACUCACAAACAAAACCUGGUCUUCCAAGCUUUCCAUUUUGACUAGCUGGUGGGGUGAGACAUCAUCAAUUCUUUCUUGAACCUUGAAAAUUUCAAAGUUAAUAGUUUGUCCUAGAAUGCUUGAAAUUUCAAAAUGCCUCUUGACAACCAAAAGACUCCCCUUAGACUCCACCAAAUAUAUAUCAAAAUUGUCUGAUAUUGGACUUGUUGUUGGAAAGGUAGCAUACAUAGAACCCUUAGGAAUGAGUUCAUCAUCUUCAAUUCGGAAUACAUCAAUCUUGUCACCAUCAUGGUUAAUGGCAUAUAACUUAUCAUUGUAAAACGCGAGAUUCCCAUACUCCUCAUCACCUAUGUAGACUUUCCAUUCUUUAUCACUUAUGUUGCACCAAACCAGGCCUCCAUCAAAAGUGACACCUGCAACAAUGAUGGGAUUUAAAUCGGCACACAUUGACAUCGUGAAAACUGUAGGGGUUGAGUUGAGUAAAUGUUGUUGUGAAGCUCGAAGAGGAAGAUCAAUUCGAACUUUUGAGAAGAGAUUUAGAAUAAAUAUUUCAACUUCUGAUCGAAUGACUAGCCAACCCUUGCAGGAGCCGACAAUGAAGGUAUUGUCCAAAGGCAGGAAUGGUUUUUCCAUCUUGUAGAUUUUCUGAAGUGAGAUACUGAAAAGACUAUAGUGUGGACUUGUGUCUUCAAUGUCAGUAAUUAGCCAGGGGAUAUCCGGGGCCCAAAUGUUGGCUUUGUUAGAGGUGGAAGAAUGCCACUUCUUGCACACACUACUAGCUAUAGCUUGAUCUGGAAUUGUCAAUAGCUUCCACAAGUGCUCUAGAAUCUUUUUUGGCAACAUCGACCAAUCUGGGUAUCGACUAUUGCUUUUGAAAUUUUCCAUACUCCUUUCCAUGCUGCAUCACAUAUAACCAACAUUUCAAAUAUAAUAUAUAAAGAGAUAUGAAUUAUUUGAUAGGUCACCUUAAUUUGUUUUGGGAGAGUGAAAAUCUAAGUCUAGUGUCCAAAUAUUGCUAACAUUCUUCAAAUGUCAAUAUGUAAAGUUGUUGUGGAAUAGGGUGAUGAAACACCAUUAAAUCACGUUACGUUAAACACAUAUAAAUGGAUAAGAACCUUAAAAAAUAGGUAAGGGGUAAGUUACAAAUCAUAUAUAUUAUGAGCCAUCUGAUUGUAUGGAAAGAUAGAUCAAAUACAAUCUCCAUUUCUUGUUUUUCAAGAAAAAAAUACUUUGUAACUUUUUUUGUUAAGCGUUUAGUAAAGAUGCUCUGAAUAACUUGUUGAAUAUAUGAUUCUGAUGAUUUUUUAAAACAUAUGCAACUCGAACUAAAAUCACAAUACUGCACAAUGCAAACAUCAAACAUGUGAAAAUAAUAGUAGUAGCUGUAAAAAUUCAAUAUGAAGAUUUAGAUGGGAAAGACAAACCUUGUGUUGUUUCACAAAGAAGAAGCAAGACCAGUGCAAAGAAUUUUUACUCAAUGAUAGAAAGUAAGUAAUACAAUUGAUGAUACCUGAAAUUGAUAUAAAUAGAGAAUUUUUCCUCCUUUCGUAUUAAAAGUAUAAAUCUAUAUAUUUUAAUAUAAUAGACUUGAGAAAACAUUAAUUAAUGUAAGAAUUACUAAUUAAUUCAGUUUCAAAACUGAAUUUAUUUUAAUAAUAUAUUUAUCAUAAAAUUAAUUAUUAAUAGUAAAUUCAUUAAAAAUAUUAAAAAAGUUCUUAAUUAAAAUAUUUAAUGAAUUUAUUAAUUAUAUAACUUUGGUCAAAACUACCUUUACUUUCCUACUAAAAAAAUUAUAUUUAUUUUUAAUAAAGUUGACUUGAGAAAGCAUUAGUGACGAGUUCAAAACCUAUAUUCAUUAUAUAAUAUUUUACUUCACUAAAUAUACUAUUUAUUAAUAAAAUAUUAAAAUGAAAUGUUAACAUUAAUUGUUAUCUUGAAAAUAAUCAAUUAUGAAUAUUAAAUUCUAAAAAAAUAUUAAAGUUUACUUAUUAAUGAUUGUAUUAAUCAGUACUUGAGUCAAAAAAGCUUUUUUUUCUUUUGUAUUAACUAUUAAGAAAGUAUAAAUCACUUAAAAAAAAAGUAUAAAUCAACGAAAAAAAAGAAAGUAUAAAUCUAUUUGUUUUAAUAAAAUAGACUUUAGAAAGCAUUAAUGUAAAAAACGAUGAGUCAACUUUGGGCUUAGUCCCUCUAAAAAAAAAUGAUGAGUCAACUUUUAAAACUUUGAGCUCAUUUAAUAUAUUUUGAUGUGAUUAAAUAUAAUAUUUCUUAAUAAAAUAUAAAAUUAAUUUUUUACUUUUUUUUAACAUUAAUUAUUAAUGGUUAGUUCAGAAAAGAAUAAUAAACUUAUUGGAAUCUCUUUUUUGGUGAAUAAAUUUAGUAGCAUCUCUAAAGUUUUUAAGACUUCCAUUUUUAUUUUUUUUAAAGAAUAAUUAAGUAUUUAAAUAGUAUAAAAUUUAUUUAAGAAUUUACUAGUCACACCAUUAAUUGUUUUUGCUUUAAUUAUUUGAUAAUACUUUGAUUGUUGAAUAAAAAGUAAAUCGGCAUGGUCUACCAUUUAGAAGGAGGGGAAAAAUAAUUGAGGAGAUACAUUUCAUCAUGAUAAAGAUAGUAAACUAUGUGGAAGCCUCAUGGGAAUUAGAACUAUUUUAACCAAACUCUUUUCAAUACAUUCAUGCGUGUAACGUACACCGAUUUCUUAAGGGUUAAAAUCAUAAUAUCAAAUAAUUUAAAAGACAAUUAAAACAAGGAGAAUUUGAAUCAAUAAGAAACUUUAACAAAAGUAGGACCAAAAUGAAAUCAGCCAUAAUAUCAGGCAUUUAUAGUGGUGCUUUCAAAGAAAGGUCCAUCGACCAUCAUGAGCAAGGCAUUCUCAGCGGUGCAACACUUCAUCUCAACAUCGACUUCCUUCGUCUAUUGUGUUAAGCGCCCACGCAACACAUAAGAAAGUGUCAACUCAAAAGAAAAACACGACGCCAUAUAGUAGCAUGUUAAACAUGUUCAUAUUAAACAACAUAGUUUAAUCCAAAUAAGAUAGUAUGUUCAAAACGACAUAAUCCGAUUAUCAAGUCAUCAGUCAACGUAUCCUAGGGUUAGUUUAGGAUGAUGCACAGUACAGGUCAGCCUUCUUGUCAAAAACAUGAUCUGGAUACAGAAUGCCAACCAUUAAGGUGGCGGGAUAAACACGACUCCUUGAAACACGAACGAGAGUGAAGCUUAAUUCAUUGUAUUCUUUUGCAACGUAACUAAUCUUGCUUUGUUCUUGUGAUUUUUCAAUCCUCAUUCAACUUGUUUUUGAAUACCCAUUUGAUUCCAAUAAUAGUUUUAUCUUUAGGUAUGAGAACCCGGGUCCAAACUUGACUUCUUUCGAAUUGAUAAAUUUUUCUUAUAAACCCAAGAUCCAGCUUUCAUCAUUGAGAGCUUGAGAUACAUAUUUAGGUUCAAUCUCUGAGAUGAAUGUCAUGUUGUUGAAUUCUUCAUACUUAGAGAAGAAUGCCAGAUUGUUUUCUUUGAAGGGUGAUCUUGUUUUAACUCGUUCAGGAGGAUUCCAAUUACUUUCUCAGGUGGAUAAUUAGCCUUAUAUCUCCAAUCUUUUUGUAGAUAUGAUCUUCAUGAGGGUGUGUCUUGAUUAGAUGACUCAUCAUUUGUAUUAGACGAUUGACGAGCAGACAAGUCAAUAUUAGUUUGCAAUUGCAGUUGAUCAAAUGAUGAGGGGUCUAAGUAACUUUUUCUUUGGUUUAGAUCAAGUCCUGCAAAAUCCUCAUCUAGGCUUGCUAGAUCAUGAGUAGUAGGAAAAAUAGGGACCAAACGAGCAAACAUGUUUCUUACACAUUCUUGAUUUUGAAAAUUGGACUUUCUUGGUUGUAACUUUAAUGUUAGAUUGCUAUGAAAUUCUGGUUGGACUAUGUCAUUCCUAAUCCAGCCUGAAUUGUAAUGCAACCCGACAUUGAAGUUGCAGUCAAGAAUGACCAAUAUCGUAUGCUUAACUAAUGAAAUUGAUGAUAAAUAUAAGGUGUGGAUGGAUUUAUAUGAAUGGUAAAAUAAAUCAAAUAAUUUUACUCCAUGAAAAUUUGCAAAGCAAAUUUGGUGAGAACUUGCAUUAUUUGCUAAUAGUUUAGGGUUCCUAAGUUGGCGGUCUCGUUUAGGACAAACAAUAUCCCUAACUUUGAGAUAAUAAGCAUUGUAAUUCCGAGUUAGGGGGCACUGUUUGACCUGGACAAGAGAGACUAAUUUUGGGACAUGUUAGCUAUGAGCAAAUGGCUACAACUCAUCGUUAAAUUUGCAUUGACAAGAGAGACUUAUUUUCUACGUUGUACAUAUAUAACGUCUGCCAAGCCAACACUAUUCAGAGUUGGUCUAUACGACCAAUGCUACUUUUUAUGAAUUUGUGUCGGCCGAAGUAGCAAGUGAGUUGCGUAAGUGUAUUGUUGGUUAAUCUGACGCUAAUGUGUAGGGUCACCCCAGGCCGGGGCCGACGCUAAAUAGUUAGUAUCAUACCAUGUAACAUGAGUCUCGAUGUUGACACUAAAUUAAUGUUACCGUAUGUCAUUUGUUGCCUACUCAGGAAAGAAAGGGAUCAGGGGGCUUAUUGAUCGGAGAAAGGGAAGAGACUUAUUGGUUUGACCUAAUUGAGAAGGAGACAAAAAAGGGAUCACCUAACCUUCUCUUGAGUGAGAGAGGCAAGUCGCAAGGCAAAAAGCUUAGUCGUUUUCAAGUUUGAGGGUCUCCUUUCCAUUAUCUCUCAAACAUAAUUGGAUAACUAAUUCUUCUUGAUUAAUCCUUCGACACACUUUAAAUAUAUGAUUGGAGUAUUAAGGGAUCCUUGUUAUUAAAUUAAAUUAACUUGAGAAAGUAUACCCAAAUAAUAAUUUUAACGUGAGAAUAAUAAUGUGUUGAACCAAAUUAAACUCCAAACUUUCUUCCAUUCAACAAUACAAAAUUAAACUCCAAACAUAAAAGCUACAAUAUCAAAAAAUAAAGCAUGCAUUUUAUUUUAUUUAUUACAAUAGCAAUUGUAUAGAGAAGGCUAUUGCAUGAGGUGACAUCAGUACAAGAUUCUUAUACAAUCUGAAUGAAACGAGUAUUAAUAUUAGUUGUUGUCAUACCAAGACUUCUUUAGAAGAUUAUCAAUUAUGCUCUUAUCCACCUGUAAAGCUUUGGUAAGAACCUCUUGAGAAAUUGGAGGACUAGCUUUAAACAAAGCAUUUGCAAUGGUAAUAACUCCAGGAUUUUGACUACUCAAUCCAGCAAUAGCAACAGCAUUUCCAGAUCCCACAUUCAAUUGGAAAUGAAUGAGACCAAUUGGGAACACAAAAACAUCACCUUUGUUGAGAACUUUAGUGAAGAGACGAUUACCACCAUUUGCGUUAUUGGAUGUGACAAAUCCAACGUAGAGAGUUCCUUCAAGGACUAUAAGGAUCUCUGUGGCUCGAGGGUGAGUGUGUGGAGGGUUUAAACCUUUAGGUGCAAAAUCUAUGCGAGCCAAAGAUAUGCCAAGUGUGUUUAGUCCAAAUAGUUGCUCAACUGUGACAGGGGUCACUUUAGAGCCAAGUGGAUUAGAGGUGCUCCCAGGUUCCACAUGUUUGAAGAAAUCUUCAGCUUUCACAAGAGCAGGGUCUUUG